AGCGAUAGCUGGUUUCUCAAGAAGAGGAUUUUAGUCCAACCUAAAGUAACCCGAAACCAAUUAAUUGGCCCCCCUCCCUUUAGAGUAAAUCAAACGAGGUACAGCCCGCUUGAUCUGGGAUACAGCCUUCACUAACGGGUAAAAAUCUAACAAACAUCUUUAAGUGGGCCUAACAGCAGCCACCUUUAAAAAAGCGUCAAAGCUUAGCCAUGUUACCUAAAUUUAAAAAUCAACAUUAACCCCUUUAACUAUAUUGAGAGCUUCUAUAAUCUUAUAGAACCCCUUAUGCUAAAACUAAUAACAAGAGGAAGUCCCUCUCCUAAAUGCAAACAUAAGCCAACAAGAACCCGUCAUUGGCAAUUAACAGAGCCCCCUACGGACAGUAACUCCUCCCACUAGAAAACCCUGCCCCCCCCCUCCCGUUAACCUAACACCAGUGCAUCUCAGGAAAGAUUAAAAGAAAGAAAAGGAACUAGGCAAGUCUUAACCCCGCCUGUUUACCAAAAACAUCGCCUCUCGACUCCAUGGGAGGUCCAGCCUGCCCAGUGACUCUGUUCAACGGCCGCGGUAUUCUGACCGUGCAAAGGUAGCGUAAUCACUUGUCUUCUAAAUGAGGACCAGUAUGAAAGGCACCACGAGGGCCAAACUGUCUCCUCUUUCUAAUCAGUGAACCUAAUCUCCCCGUGAAGAAGCGGGGGUCUAAAUA
rnacentral:rRNA from 1 species